AUUGAACGCUGGCGGCAGGCCUAACACAUGCAAGUCGAGCGAGGACUUCGUUCCUAGCGUCGGACGGGUGAGUAACGCGUGGGAACGUGCCCCUUGCUACGGAAUAGCCCCGGCAAACUGGGAGUAAUACCGAAUGUGCCUGAGAGGCGAAAGAUUUAUCGGCAGAGGAUCGGCCGGCGGUGGAUUAGGUAGUUGGUGGGGUAAUGGCCUACCAAGCCGACGAUCCAUAGCUGGUUUGGGAGGAUGAUCAGCCACACUGGGACUGAGACACGGCCCAGACUCCUACGGGAGGCAGCAGUGGGGAAUCUUAGACAAUGGGCGCAAGCCUGAUCUAGCCAUGCCGCGUGAGCGAUGAAGGCCUUAGGGUUGUAAAGCUCUUUCAGUGGGGAAGAUAAUGACGGUACCCACAGAAGAAGCCCCGGCUAACUCCGUGCCAGCAGCCGCGGUAAUAC
rnacentral:rRNA from 1 species